rnacentral:rRNA from 1 species
GACGUAGGGGCCGAGCGUUGUCCGGAGUUACUGGGCGUAAAGGGCCCGCAGGCGGCGCGGUGCGCCCGGCGUGAAAGCCCCCGGCCUAACCGGGGAAGGGCGUCGGGGACGGUCGCGCUUGAGGGCAGCAGGGGGUGGUGGAAUGCCCGGUGUAGUGGUGAAAUGCGUAGAGAUCGGGCGGAACACCCGUGGCGAAGGCGGCCACCUGGGCUGUGUCCUGACGCUGAGGGGCGAAGGCGUGGGGAGCGAACGGG